rnacentral:rRNA from 1 species
UGAAACCGUUCAGGGGUAAACCUGAGAAACCCAAAAGAUCGAAUGGGGAGAUUCAUCGUCAGCGGUACCGGUACGUGUGCGGUUCGCGAUGUCCGAGACUUCGGUUUCGUGGCACGCGUCCGCAUGUUUUUUAUUGCCUGGUAUCGUCGGCGUGCACUUCUCCUCUAGUAGGACGUCGCGACCCGUUGGGUGUCGGUUUACGGCCCGGGUGGGUGCCUGUCUCGUGUGCGCUUUAUCGCGUCACUGCGGGGCAGACCCCCGGCUGCCUGACCGGCUGCUCGGCGGUACUCGCAAGGUAUCUGGCCGCAAACAUUUGAACUGCGUCCGGCCCGUCGCAAGCGAGGCGAGUGUUCCCGAAUGUACGGAUCUCAUGCCGUCAUCGGGCCUAGCCAGCUGUUGGUUGACGGUGCCCUGGGACAGGCUAUAAUAAUUAUGAUACCGGUCAGCGACGCUACUGCUUUGGGUACUUUCAGGACCCGUCUUGAAACACGGACCAAGGAGUCUAACAUGUGCGCGAGUCAUUGGGAACUGUUAAGCCUAAAGGCGCAAUGAAAGUGAAGGUCGGCCUUGCGCCGACCGAGGGAGGAUGGGCCGCGUCACGAUGCGGUCUCGCACUCCCGGGGCGUCUCGUUCUCAUUGCGAGAAGAGGCGCACCUAGAGCGUACACGU